UGGCGAACGGGUGAGUAACACGUGGGCAAUCUGCCCUUCACUCUGGGACAAGCCCUGGAAACGGGGUCUAAUACCGGAUAACACUGCGGAUCGCAUGGUCUGUGGUUAAAAGCUCCGGCGGUGAAGGAUGAGCCCGCGGCCUAUCAGCUUGUUGGUGAGGUAGUGGCUCACCAAGGCGACGACGGGUAGCCGGCCUGAGAGGGCGACCGGCCACACUGGGACUGAGACACGGCCCAGACUCCUACGGGAGGCAGCAGUGGGGAAUAUUGCACAAUGGGCGAAAGCCUGAUGCAGCGACGCCGCGUGAGGGAUGACGGCCUUCGGGUUGUAAACCUCUUUCAGCAGGGAAGAAGCGAAAGUGACGGUACCUGCAGAAGAAGCGCCGGCUAACUACGUGCCAGCAGCCGCGGUAAUACGUAGGGCGCAAGCGUUGUCCGGAAUUAUUGGGCGUAAAGAGCUCGUAGGCGGCUUGUCACGUCGAUUGUGAAAGCCCGAGGCUUAACCUCGGGUCUGCAGUCGAUACGGGCUAG
rnacentral:rRNA from 1 species